rnacentral:rRNA from 1 species
AUGGCGGACGUGGCUGCCGUGUGCCCUAGGUUCAGGCAGGGAGACUCCAAGGAGGUCCCGCUCGUGUCGCGGGCCGUGUUGGAGGCGUCGGGCCACCUCGGCCGCGACGGCAACUGCUUCGUGCAGUGCAAGAUCGAGCUCUCCGGCUGCGGCGAAAGAGCCGGCCUCCCUCCCCGAGACCUGGGCCAGGACCUCGGCGACCUCCUGCGCAGCCAGACCGGCGCGGACGUCACCUUCGUCGUCGGCGCCGCGUCCUUCCGCGCGCACAGGCUGCUGCUGACCGCUCGGUCGCCGGUCUUCGCGGCCGAGCUCGCCGGAAGCAUGACGGACGAGACGCAUAGGAUCAAAGACAUGGACGCGGACACCUUCCGGGCCCUGCUCCUCUUCAUCUACACGGACACGCUGCCGCCGCAGCUGGAGCACAUGGACCGCUGGCUGGGGACCUGGAAGGAGGACCAGGAGGCGGUGUCGAUGGCGCGUCGUCUUCUCGACGCCGCCGACCGGUACGGCGUGGAGCGGCUCAAGAUCAUCUGCGAGAAGAAGGCAUGCGUGAGCGUCAGCGUGGGCACGGUCGCGGAGGACCUGGUCCUGGCGUAG